GACUUGCGCUCCAGCGCCUCCGUUCCCACGGCUGCGGGAGCAGCAAAGCGGACGGGGUGGGGGCAGCGGCCGCUAGGUGGGUACCGAGGGCCGAUCCAGUGGACCCGCUCCCCAGCACCUUCUCCCUGCGGGGCUGACCUUCCCACCCACCCGGCUGACCUCGGGGUGCCGGGGGCGCAGCCAGAUGUCCCGGUGCUGAGGAAGGACGGGACGGAACGCGGCUGGGUGAUGCCAUUAGCCUUCAUUUCCUCAGGAAACGGUGGGAACCUGUGAGCAGCCCGCAGCCAAAGCCUUCGCGUUUAAACAUUUGGCUAGGAAAUGGAGCCUGGGAUUCCCUGGCACCUCCCUAGGAAGCGUGCUUCUGCGGCUAAUUUAGGCAAGCGGUGGAUGGUGGUGGUCCUCCACGCCAGCCUGGCAGAGAUGCGGGUACCCAGCCCAUGCCGAGGGCGAGGUCCUCGCACUCAGGGCAGGAUUCUGCUCCUCUCUGCUUCUCCACUUUUCACUCUUCACUCAGCGGCCACACAGUGAUUCCCCCGGUACCUGCAAGAGGACGAACGCGCCUGAGAAGGAGCAGAGAGAUCAAAGGCUUUCGGUGUGGGACACCAGGGCCAGCAGGGCACGUGAUACCUCUCCAACACAGUAUUUUUAUUGGAGGAGUCACAGAAGGCAUUGCAAAACUGGGGCUCCUUUUCCAGUUAACUGAGGCAUUGUCAACAGACUCGGGACUCACAGAUGCCAUCUAACAUGAGAACUGCCCGGUCCCUGCCUCCCUCAAGGCAACUUGCUCAAUCUCUUAAGCUGGGGGAACGAUUUGGACUCUAUCUGGAUUCUGGCUCUGCUGCUGAGCCCAGUGAACAUUGUAAAGAUGCUUGGCAAACUGAUGGUGAGCACUCUUCAGAUUUUCAACUACUCAGACUGGGGAGCCAAUUAUUCAAAACCGGGGAGUGGGAAAAGUAAAGGAGAGAGGAUGUUUGUACUGCCGGGCCUCAAGCCAUAACACAGGUGCCAAAUUUAGGACUAUGGUCUCCUUAAUGUCUCCCCAAGCUCAGUGGAGGAGUGUGUACAUACAGCGUGGGACCCAGGGGUGCUGCCCAUGCGGAUGGGCAUGUUUGUAUUUAUCACCUCCGUGUCAGGAUGAGCGGAGGCAUGCUCCGCUCCCCCCCUUCCACUCGUAUCCUGUUUUCCCUGUGAAGGAAAUCUGGGCAAGCAGGGCGGAAGAACACCAGGGGGGUCCCAGCAGCCAUGGUGGGGCUUGAGCAGCAGAGGCAGAGCACACUGCUGCACACCUGCCCUGCAAGGCAGGUAGAGCCCAAGGGACUGCCCGCUGCCCAGGCCCCUGCUGCCCCAGGAGCCCCCAGCCAGCAGGCACCCACCAUCAUGUGGCUUCAUCCCUAGGUGAGCGUGGGGACAUCAACAAGGGCUGCAGGGCACAGGAGGUGACACAUGCAAGGAGGUGACACAUGCAAGAGAAGAGCCAAAGCGCAGGCACUGCCCCAUCCAAGUGGACUUUUCUCGACUCAGUACUUUGCCUUCCAACAAACUGAUCUCUCCUAACACUGCCUGUCCAGAAAAGUGAUAAAUACUGGUGCAGAGAUGUUGUCAGCUCCCUGUAUGGCAACAAGAGUUUACAGAAAGAACAUUGCUGUGAUAAGGGAAAAGAUAAUGGAUUCAUCAUCGUGUCAUCACUCAGGCUGAGAAGAUGUGUGAAGCAAGGGACAGGGGUCCCUUGCCUAACAGAUGAGGGACCAGGAUUUCCAAAAGAAACCAGUCAGACUUGUAGUGAUCCCUUCCAGUUGCUGGUGUCCCCAGCAGCCAUGCUUGUCUCUUAUGCUUGUCUCUCCAACUCCAAUACUCACCUGUGAAGCCUGGUGUUACAGCUCCUUGCAAGAUACCCACAGGCUGGAGCAGCCCUCCUGCACACCGAGCAAGUUUCUCUCCAUAGCACAAGAACUCAUAUUUUGCACCCACUCUCUCACUCACAAGUUCCCAGGCUGAGAAAUAACCCCCCCUGCAUAUGAUACCUCUGGGUUUAGAUGAGUGGGGGGACUCUCCCAUAACUAAGAAUUUUGUAGCUCAUGCAUAUGUGUGUGAGAUGUUCUGGGGUAGUCUGUAAAAUCAUUCUUUGGUUUCAUUGACUGGAAAGUUAGGAGAGACUGACAAAGGAGAUAGACUUAAGAAAGCCACCCCCUUCUCCAUGAAGAUAUCCUUUUGUAGAAUGACACUGGCAUUUCUUACAAUGUGUGAUAAUAAUACUACACUUGACCAGAAUUGUGGUGGAAGUGCCCAGAGAAGAAAGCACAAGUCCUGGUUUAGGUGGAACUGUCUGAUCAAGGAGAAGAAAACAAGAAGCUCAUUCAUAAGAUGGCAGAACAAAUUAACAUAUGACAGAAGGACACAUAUCAUCUUGUUUCUAUUGUCAGUACUGUUUUCAGAGGGGGAGUUGUUCCACUCAGUUCAGUGAAUUCACUUGAGUUGCAUUCAAUAAUAAAAAAUCACAAGGAUGCCACAGUUUUUAAGUAAAUGGCAACAAUAGUAGUAGUGACAACAUAACGUUUUGUUGACUUCCAUAAAACAAUUCCUGGCAAGUGGUGCUAUAUAUCUGCAGGAAUUUGCAGGACUGAGGCCAGACAACGCAACAACCAAUGCAUGAGUGCGCCCAUCCCUGUUCAAAAUGCUGUCUCCUCCUCUCUCAUUCUGUUGUCCCCUGGAAAACUUUGGCCUUGCUCUGCUGAUGUGCUGUGGCUUAACCUGAAUUUUGUUCAUUUUUGUUUUGGAAAGUGCACUUUUUGGAUGCACAAUGGAAUGGAAGUAAGUGUCUACAUCAGACGUAAUUCAGCCUCUGAUCUAGUUGUGCAUUGCAUCAGCUGGUUACAUGCGAAUGGCUCUAAAGUGGCAUAUGUUGGUGGCAGCAGCCACCCCAGCUGCAGGCUGUACCCUUAGUCUCCUCUGUUAACUUUGAGGUGAGUGCUUCCAUAGCAGCGCUUACUGAUGCUCGGCAGCCCUUGCUCCUUUGCAAUGCAUCAACUCUCGUGAUAGCCUGCUGUGUCCCACGUGCAUGUGUUGAAAGCUCAGCCAGUCUAAGAUGCUGUGAGAGCAGGACCAGGGGAGAGGAUAAGGUAUGUGGUAGGAAGUGUGGGGAGCUAAGAUUAAAAGGACAAUGUAUGGAAAGAUGGCACAGGAAUGCGGAAGGUAGGGAUGCUCCUUUGGAGGUCUGGAGAUGAGUGCAAGGAGGAUUGAAGAGGGCCAGAGGGUCAGUACAGCAGAGGAACAUGCAAGGUGGACUGGAGUCCAGAGGAGUAUACUUGCUGCUCUCCUGGGCUGAAUUUUUAUACUAUUUCAAUGCAUUGACAGGUGUGAGGAGGGAGGAGAGUUGCAAUCACACCCUCCUCAGCCUCAGUCUGUAGUCUGACACACAACAGAGGCUGCUGCAGUUGCCACCCAGGUAGGGACACUACCUAUUACAGCUCCUGACCUUGAUGAUACUGCAUGCAAGUUGAGGAACUUGAGCUGAAGCAUCACUGUGUAUUGCAAACAAGCCUUACAAGGACUCCUGCAGCAAUUCUGAGAUGUGUAGGUGUACAUCCACCCUCCCACUGCACAGGGCAGAUAAACAAUAGAAGUGUGAAGUAUCAACUCC